rnacentral:rRNA from 2 species
UGACAGGUGGUGCAUGGUUGUCGUCAGCUCGUGUCGUGAGAUGUUGGGUUAAGUCCCGCAACGAGCGCAACCCUCGACCUUAGUUGCCAGCAUUCAGUUGGGCACUCUAAGGGACUGCCGGCGACAAGUCGGAGGAAGGUGGGAUGACGUCAAGUCAUCAUGCCCUUUAUGUCCUGGGCUACACACGUGCUACAAUGGCCUGUACAGAGGGAAGCGAAAGGGUGACCUGGAGCGAAUCCCAAAAAGCAGGUCUCAGUUCGGAUUGCAGGCUGCAACCCGCCUGCAUGAAGUCGGAAUCGCUAGUAAUCGCAGGUCAGCAUACUGUGGUGAAUACGUUCCCGGGCCUU